rnacentral:snRNA from 1 species
AUCACUUCUCGGUCUUUUGGCUAAGAUCAAGUGUAGUAUCUGUUCAUUUACAUAUAUAUAUAUUAUUGGAAAUGCAGAUAUACAGAGAGGAGAAGAGACAGAGAGGAAGAUCUUCCAUCCAAUGGUUCACUCCCCAAGAGGCCACAACAGCUGGAGCUGAGUCAAUCUGAA